CCGCGCCUCCGCUACCCUCCAAACCGCCGAACCGAACGAGCCCAACACCCACCACCUGGAAAAAUCCUACUCUAUAAAUCAAUCGACGCACCACGUCCACAGGCAUCCAUCGAAAUCUUUCUCAUCGGCUCCUACCAGCACCACGCCAAGUGUAUACGGCAAGAAGGAAGCCACGACACCUCGUCUAGUGUUCCUUAUCCGUGUCCCGUAGCUAGCCAGCAAUCUGCGCAGCAAGAAAGGAAGGGAGGUACUUGGAUCGCUUCUUCUGUGGAGAUGGUGGCGCCCAUGGUGAUCGCGUCGGCGGGGCUCGGGAUGCCGGCGGGCAUGGCGAUGGCGAACCGGACGACCGGGGACGGGCUGCCGGCGGCGUCUAGAUGGGACGCGCGGCCGCGUUGCUCCACGUGCAGCGGCACUGGCCGGGAGGAGUGCCUCUGUAGCCAUUGGUCCGACGGCGACGUCGGCUGCGGGACGUGCUCCGGCUCCGGCCGCAAGCCGUGCCGCAGCUGCGGAGGCUCUGGCACCGGCCGGCAGCUCCCGGUUCGACUCAUCGCCCAGCAGCAGAAGCUGCCGACGACCGCACCCGGGCGAAGCGGAGACUACAACUGA
rnacentral:rRNA from 1 species